UUCUUAUAGAAUUAAUUAUAAGUAACACCUGCUCAAUGAAUUAUUUAAAUAGCCGCAGAAAUUUAACUGUGCUAAGGUAGCAUAAUCAUUAGCCCCUUAAUUAGGGGCUCGUAUGAAUGGUGAAACAAUUCAACUUCUAUUUUUCUUAAUUUUUUCUAACCUAAAUUAAGAAUAAAAAUGUUCUUAUUAAAUAAAUAGACGAUAAGACCCUAUUGAACUUUACUUCAGUUUAGCUGGGGCAGCUAAAAAAUAAUAAUCUUUUUAUGCAUUUUUUAAAUAAAUAACCCAAUAAAAUUGAAUUUUGAACAAGUUACCAUAGGGAUAACAGCGUAAUAUCUUUUAAAAGUUCUUAUUUAAAAAGAAGAUUGCGACCUCGAUGUUGAAUUAGUGUAACUUUAAUAAUGCAACAAUUUUAAAAGUAGGUCUGUUCGACCUAUAAAACACUACAU
rnacentral:rRNA from 1 species